rnacentral:rRNA from 1 species
GAUGAACGCUAGCGGCAGGCCUAACACAUGCAAGUCGAGGGAGGAGCUUUCGGGCUUCGCCCGGCGUACGGGUGCGUAACGCGUAUACAAUCUGCCUUUCACAUAGGGAUAGCCCGAAGAAAUUUGGAUUAAUACCUAAUGGUAUAUAGAGGUGGCAUCACCUUUAUAUUAAAGCUGAGGCGGUGAAAGAUGAGUAUGCGUUCUAUUAGCUAGUUGGAGAGGUAACGGCUCCCCAAGGCGACGAUAGAUAGGGGUUCUGAGAGGGAUAUCCCCCACACUGGUACUGAGAUACGGACCACUCCUACGGGAGGCAGCAGUGAGGAAUAUUGGACAAUGGUCGGAAGACUGAUCCAGCCAUGCCGCGUGCAGGAAGACGGCCUUAUGGGUUGUAAACUGCUUUUGCAGGGGAAGAAUAAGGACUACGCGUAGUUUGAUGACGGUACUCUGCGAAUAAGCAUCGGCUAACUCCGUG